CUUAAAUUUGACAGAUCGAUAGUUAAUUUCUUUCUCGCUCGCUUGGGCGAUCGGUGUUUGUUGUUUACUUCCAACAUAAUGUUGUUUCCUCUAUCCGGUAAUUCAUCUGCGGUCGGACAUUCCUGCUGCCUUCGCAAGAUCCAAGACCAGUAAAAUGACGGAACUUGCAAGGGUGGGAUAAAAUCCUCACAACCAGAAUUGUUUCCUGAACAGCUGACAAGGCAAAGCAUUUCGACGGACAAAACAUCUGGAAAGCUGCGACCACAGGAGACCCGAUGAUUUCUAGUAUAUCUCAAGCCGAAAUAAACCAAAAUAGUCUCAUCAAGGUGCACCAUGCAAGGCCAAGGACCUGCGGAAAUUUGGAGUAUGUCGAGCUUCUAGCACAGACAAACAGACGUCACACUCUCAUCAUUGUGCAUCGACCACCUUUUUAACGGUCGAUUCAAAAAUAUGGUAGGUGGCCAUGGCUGCAGCAGGAAAGCAAGGCGACUAUUUUCAAAGUGUUUUCCAUCAAUGACAAAUUUGUUCGGCAUCUACUUUUCUAUCUAAGCUAUUUUGCUUUGAAGAUGAAGCCAGGGGAUUAAUGGUCGGAAUUGUGGACGGAGUUGUUCUAAUAACCAACUACUCAUUGUCACGCCCCAUUUACGACAAAUUAUGAUCAUUUAAUUCGAUGUAUCGCAUCAAUGAUAGAUAACCAAACUGCGUUCUUACUGGAAUUGUCGAACGUUGAGAAUAUAAUGCAGCAUCAAAGGACUACGACGACUUUGACUAUAGAUCUGAUGAAGCUCGUCAGAGGCCUUGCAUAAAACACCUACGUAGAUAAACAUUUA